GGCUAAGAUAUGGCAGAAAAUUUAGCAGCUCCGUGACUGGGCUUUUCGUUACAAGUAGCAGAACCCAAGCUCGGUGAACACGGGCACCCACAGAAAACAUUCCGAAACUGAACGCUUAGCCUCCAUGCCCUUCCUGGGUUCCUUCCAGCGCUCUUACUCCUGGUGUAGGUGGGGACCCCUUUAUAGGCUCUUUGUGGCUCCUCCCCAGGCACACCCAGAAGACUAAGCUGCAGUAGAAAACAAGUUCCAGUUCAGCGGUGAACACGGAGUAGAAUAUGGGCAGUAUUGAAUAAUGCCAGAUACUAAAGGAAGAAAACGUGUGAGAAACCCUCUUCAUGUUAAAAGAUUAAGAGUUUCCUUAACCACAGCUACUCUCUAAAAGUCAGAUUUUCCCCCUCCAGUCACUCUCUGAAAGAGAACAAAAUAAUUUUCUGAAAGGAAGCCGCAUAACAUGGAAAACAUGUUGGAGCCACAUGGACACAGAGGAAAGAGAGAAGACUUUCACUGCGCAGCAUGAACUCUCUUCACCAUCUUCGUCUAUGCCUGGUGACCUUCAAACUGGUAAAAAUAAUCCUUUUUACCUUGCUUAAAGCAUGUAGCACAGGGGCUUGUGUAAGUGAGUAUUCAGUAAAUAUUGGUUGCAUUGAAUGACACAAGCCCCUUUGAUGAGGUGCUUGUUUUUAAUGGAGAAAACUGAGACUAAAAGUGUAUAGGAUGUGAUAAUAAGGUCAUAUUCACUGGCCGGUCAGGAUUAAUUAUUCUUUCUUUCAUGUUUGAGUGUAGGGUCGAAACUAUUAAAAGUCUGCUAGCUAUAAUGUUUACAAAUAUAAGUAACAUACAAAUCUUCAAAGGUUUAUUCAAGCCUACAAUCUGUAAAUCCCUAUGUUAGAAAACAACUCUGCAAUGAAAGCCACUUAGAUCCCCAUGACCGAUAAUUAGGGAGCCAAUCAAGUAUUAUUUGCAGCUAAAAUAUUAGACAACAAUGGAAACAAGAAAUUAUAGUGCAAUGAAUAAAUGCAAAAGUACUUAUAAAUUCAGACUGCUUGAGUCAGUCAUCCUUUGCCUGGUGAGUCCACUCAGGUUGAGCUGAAGCUAAAAACUCGUUGAAUCUGAGAAUUAUGUUUGCCUCUACUGGAGAAAUGCUUAGCUGCUGUUAUGGUCAUGCUUUUCUUUGAUUAGCAAUCAAGAAAAAUUAGUUUUAUGGCAUCAAAAAAAAAAUAGGGGUCGUUACAGUCCAAAUAAAAGUUGCUAGUAUUUCCUGCCUUUGCUGCUUGUCUAAUUACCCUUGAUUCUGGGUGUCCAACUUUCCUCAUGUGCUACAAAGGGAGUGCCUGAGCCUGGAAAUAAGUUAGUUCUACUGUUCUGUGUUUGGUGCUGGUGGAUACCAAAACCAAAAUCAGACAUACUUCCUCAAUGAAUUUAUAUAACAUGUUGCAAAGGAAGACAGAAUAAGCCUUUAAAACAGUGGUCCCCAACCUUUUUUGGCACCAGAGACUGGUUUUCUGGAGGACAAUUUUUCCAGAGACUUGGGUGGGGGAAUAGUUUUGGGAUGAAACUAUUUCACUUCAGAUCAUCAGGCUUUAGAUUCUCAUAAGGAGCACACAACUUAGAUCCCUCCCAUACACAGCUUGCAAUAGGGUUCGUGCUCCUAUGAAAAUCUAAUGCUGCCACUAAUCUGACAGGAGGUGGAACUCAGCUUCUCUCACUUGCCUACUGCUUACUUCCUGCUGGGCAAUCUGGUUCCUAACAGGCCAUGGACUGGUACCCGUCCGUGACCUGCGGAUUGGGAACCACUGUUUUAUAGGAUAUAUUCUAUAAUGGAUGCUAUUUUUCUGGUUCACCAUUGUAGAUGCCAAAAUUUGAAUAAAAUUGUUGAAUGGAAUCUAUUCAUUUGACAACUUGUUGUGAUUCUCAAGAGCUUUAUUUUAUCUUAGUACUUAAUGAUAAUAUUAAUAAAAAUAAUUCUAGCAAAAACAAUACAUUAUAAUUUAAAAGCAUAUGUGAACAUUACUAUUAUAAACUAUAGAAUAUAGUCAGCAUUACUAUUAUAAACUAUAGAAUAAACUACUGAGUUUAUUAUACAGUAAAUGAAUUAUUGUUAGUAUUGCUUUAUCAUAUAUAACAUAUUUAGUAUAUAUUUAUGUACAAUAAAUAUAUAUAACUAUGUGACAUAUAUAUUUGUUAUAUAAUAUAUGUAACUAGAAACAUUUUUUAAAAGUCUUUCUCUGUCCUCCAGGGAGAGUAGAUCUUUAGUGCUGUUGAGAGAAGCAUUGGUUAACUAUUCUAGUUAUCUUUUCUUCAUAACAACCCGCUCGAAAUUUAGUGACUUAAAACAACAACGAUCAUUUAUUUAGCUCAUAAAUCUGCAAUUUAAUGGAGAGGGCUCAGUGGGGGCAGCUCAUUUCUGCAUUAUGCAGCAUCAGAUGGGGUGGUAUGGGUAACUCAAUGGCAGGAGACUGGAAUCAUUUGAAGACUCACUCACAUAUCUGAUGGUUAAUACUAGCUGUUGCAUGGGACUUCAGCUGGGGUUCUUGGUCAGAUGGAUCACUUACAUAUGGCCUCUACAUGCAGCUGUUUUUCUUCUUCACAACAUGGUGGCUGAGUUAAAAGAGAGAGCAUACCAAGAAAACAAGGUAGAAGUGCAUAUCAUUUCUAUGAUCUGGCCUUGGGAGUCAUUUAGCAUCACUCUUACCAUACUCUAUUGAUUGAACUAGUCACAAUUGUCCAAUAAAACUAAAAAGAAGAGCUAUUAAUUGAUGAGAUGAGUGUCACUGUCAUUCUGUAAUAAAAUUUGUAUUAUAAUGUUUUGUGUAAAAGUCUAAAGAUGAGGAUCAGUGCUUAUGAUUUGGGGACCAUUAGCAUACUAAUGAUAGUUAAAACCCUGAGAUAAAGUGAGAUUACUUAGGAAGAAUAUAUCAAGAAAAAGAUGUGAACCAAGAAUGAACAGCACUUAAGAGGGAGCUUGUGGUAUGAGAUUUAUUGUGGUGGUCACCUUUGGAAAAUAUUAUCAGCCCAUUGUGGAUAGAAAUGGAAAAAAACCCAAAGAGCUAAAUUUAUCUUUGCUAUAGAUUGAACAGUCAGAGAGAAAACUCUGGAGGUAGAAAUAACUGAAAUUGGCACAGAGGGAAAAAAGGGAAAGACAGGCUGGCUUCUGUGAAAAGAGAAAUUCUGUGAAAAGAUCUGAAGUCUUCAAAGGAAAUUUGGAAAAAAUUUUGCUCUUUUGUUUCACAAAAGCCUGCAAAUUUAGAAAUGCAUCUUGGAAUCAGAUAUUUGUUUUCUGGAAUUGCAAAGACAGCUUCUAAUUGGCUUAGAGGAAGCCACAGUGGCAGAGCAAGAGUGGUCCAAGGACAAUCAGUCACUUUUAAGAUAUAUAUAAAUAUAUGGAAAGCAUACCUAUGUGUCCAAAUACUGUGUACUGUAGUUCUGCUGAUAACUUGUAAAUACAAGUCAUAAAUUAGGUUUAGUUCAACUGAUAUUUAGUAAGUACUUAGAAUGUUUUAGGCAAUGCUAGUUAUCAGGGCUGAAAAGAUAAAUAAAGCAUGAUUUCUGCUCUAGAUCUAGUAAGAUGGUCAGGUUUAUAAAUUUAAAAUUUCAGUUAAAAUUCUUGAUAUUAAGAGUUUGGAUUGUGGAAUCAAAAUGUCUAACUCUGGGCAAGUUACUUAUCUCUCCAAGCCUCAGAUUCAUCAUUUGUAAAAUAGGAACAUAACAGUUCCUAACUCAGAGAGCUGUUGGGAGGAUUAAAUGAGAUAAUGUAGGUAAAAUAUUUAGCAUAGUGCCUGGCAUAUGGAAAGUGCUCACAAAAAUGAAUGGGUAUUGUUGAAUGAUGUAACCAAAAUGUGAAGUGUACGCAAUUUGGCUUCACUCUUCCCCACAGAAAACCUAAAUCAAAUAUCUAGUGUGAAGAUUAUAAACAGCAGUAUCCCAGAACUUAAAUUUGGGGCUGAAAUGACCCCUAGGACCACAGAGCAGUGAGAAACUCUGAGAAGACAGUAAGAGAAAUGGACUUUUCUACUCAUCAUGCCCCUCCCCAAAUCUGCCAGAUGCCAUUCAUGGACAUUUUUUUUUCCUUGACCCAUGGUUUCCACACUAGAAAAAGUGAGAUCAAGGGAAACAGCCAGUUUUCCCACCUUCCUGGGUUCCCUUGCAGGAAAACAACUCCUGCUUUAACCCUUGGAAGCAUUGCAAGUGCCUAUAGGGAGAAAAACUCCUGAGGCCAGCUAGUGACAAAGAAGAGAGGCAGGACUAGAGACCCUAGUUUAUGGAACUUUGCUCUUUAUCUCAGCCAAAGACGUCAAAGCAGAUUGGCUGUUUAGCAACACCAAGAUGUAGGAUAUAUCCUCCAUUGGUCUUCUGUGCAUGAACUCCUAGCCAGUCUUCCCACACAAUCAGUGUCCCUAUGGGACUCUCUAACCCCUAAUCUGGGAUGAGGAGAGCUCUGAAUGAUUUCAAGAACUGAAGCAAACUGGGGCUUAAUGUACCAUUCAAUGCCAAAAAGGAGGCAGCAAUCUAGGAUUAAGGAUGCUUACAUGCAACUGCAUAGAAUCUCUAGGCAAACAUACUCUAGAAAGUUGAAAAAAAGCCAGAUAGCAAAGACUAGAAUAAAUACAACAGAUGUAUGUUUAUAAGAAACAACAACAGGCCGGGCACGGUGGCUCAAGCCUGUAAUCCCAGCACUUUGGGAGGCCAAGGCGGGUGGAUCAUGAGAUCAAGAGAUCGAGACCAUCC